AGCAUCUACGAGAGGAUAACCCGUUCUACCUUGUCUCCAAGCUUUGAAAUAAUCUUCAUCGAUCACCCAAGGAAAGAACCUAAGGUGGACCAAGAGAGGUUUCUCAUGACUGUAAGGGUGGUUGAAACUCAAGUAUCUAGAGUACUCCCGAAGACCAAUAGAUUUAAGGAACAAAUCACAGCUCUCUUCGGCUGCUUUAUUCCCCUCAUUGGUCCACACAAGCUGCUUCAUACGAACAAGAUGGAAGACUUUGCGGACACUUAGCUCCCCAAAAUGCAAAUGAGGUGAAAGUAGUGAUGUAGAUGCACUAUCUGCUUUCCUUCGAUUCACAGAGUACUCAAUCAAAGGUCCAUUAAUGAAGGAAGUCAGAGACUUGUCAGCAUUACGCC
rnacentral:lncRNA from 1 species